UACGAAGGGUGCUAGCGUUGUUCGGAAUUACUGGGCGUAAAGCGCGCGUAGGCGGCUAUCCAAGUCAGAGGUGAAAUCCCUGGGCUCAACCCAGGAAUUGCCUUUGAAACUGUAUAGCUUGAGUGUCGGAGGGGAUAGCGGAAUUGCUAAUGUAGAGGUGAAAUUCGUAGAUAUUAGCAGGAACACCGGUGGCGAAGGCGGCUAUCUGGACGACAACUGACGCUGAGGCGCGAAAGCGUGGGGAUCAAACAGG
rnacentral:rRNA from 1 species